UGGUAAUAAUACUCAACAUCAGUCUGGAGAGGCGGUGAUAAGAAUACUCGGGUUACGUCUGAAACAACAACUUAUUAUGAUGCGAAGGUGCUAGUGGAAGUUGGGAAUCGGUGGAGUGUUGAGUCAUGGACUUUGGAAGCUCCUAUCACAUGUGUUUGAAGAAGAAAUACUUUUGAAUCCCUAGAGCUAGUUGAAGGUGGAGUUGUUCAUCUAAUCAUCUCGGUGACGGAAAGCUUGUAAGGUUCAAGGUAUGGGUGAGUUUCUUUUAACAUAAUGCGAG
rnacentral:lncRNA from 1 species